rnacentral:miRNA from 1 species
CCACUUUGGGUGUCAUUGGUA